rnacentral:lncRNA from 1 species
GCAAUGAGAACAACAAAACCAUAAGUAAAAACACACGAGAAACAGGGUGAAGUAUAAAACUAGUAGAAGCAUGUUGUUUUGAAAGUUGUAACUUAAAUAGGUGGCAUACCAGUUGCAGCUAAUGUAACACAGUAGUAAUGAGCAAUAAUGCACAAAGGAGAGCAGAAUGUGCAAAGAGUGUGCAGAGAGUGAGAGCAGCAGUGUGCAGAGAAGUAAGCAGCAGGCAAACCCAAACAGACAAUGCAGUAGAACCCCAGUAGUAGAAAUAAACAGCCAAGAUUACUCAAUCUUGGCUUUCAGCCGAUUAAGUGUUCAAUAGAAGAAUGAGAUAGUUUGUAUAGAAACAAUCGAAAAAGAGAGAGAGCACUGAGUGUUUUGAAAGAGAGUUUAGAGAGAUUGAAUUCGUGUCUCUGUGUGUGAGAGAUAUGCAAUGUGUUGGUUUCCUGUGCAAAAGAGAAUGGGGGUUACUUAUAGUACUGAAAACGAGUAAACAAACAAGGUAGCAUCCUAUUAUUAAGGAACUGAGUAUCAAUCCUAAUCAAAUCCAUAUAUGGACUCCCCUUUAAUUAAGGAAUCAACGUCAAACAGCAACAAGCAGUUAUUUCGAAAGGAAAUGAAUCAAUUAGACUAUUGUAUCUACCAUAUUAGGAGUAGUAAAGCAUAUAAUAUGCAAUAAGGGCCAAAUACAUAAUAAUUUUAGUAAGGAAAAUAUAGACUGAAUAUUUGAAAGCAUGUUCACGCGCAUAAAUAGAGUGAAAAUAUAAAUUAACUCUGAAAAUUAGUCCAAGAAUCAUGGAUGAGAUUAAAAUAAAAAAUCAUAAGGGAUUAGUUCUAAGUGAGGAAAGCAUAUCUCAAAUAAGGAAGUAAUUCAAAAAAUCAGUAUAAAACUUCUAAGGAAAACACAUACAAAUCAAGUAUUCGCAGAGAUGCACAAAAUAAGCUGAAUAUUAUGUAGAUGAUGAACAAUUAGACUAAUAAAGAGCCAUAUACAUGAAAAUCAGAGAACCCUAAGCAAGAAAGUCACAUAGAAGGCCGAAGACUGAACCCUAGUAGAAAACUUAAAGCGUGGAACUCGGAGUAACCAGAAGGUAACACAAAUAAACACAUACCAAAAAUAUAACCACAUAAUACUCAAGAAAAAUCAGAAGAUAUAGCGAUUUUGAAAGAGGUUCGGAAACCUUAGCUUUGGAAAAAUAGAAAAAUGUUGAAAAACUUGAAUGAAUCGGAGAUAUCGAGUGAAAAGCAGUGUAGAACACAAAGAUUAAAUUGAAAAUCGUUCGAAAAGUCAGAGAUUAAAGAGAUUUAGGCAAGAAUUAGGGUUUGCAAAAUAAAUUACGAAAAUGAGAAACCUGGCCGUGAAACUCGUUAAUAAUGCCAUAUAAGGCAUCACCGGACAAAAACCAACCGGAGAAGGCAGGUAAUAGACCCAGGCAAAGCUUCAGCGACCGUCUUUCAUGGUAGAAGUUUUCUGGGCUUCAAACUUUAGAGAGAAACAACGAGAUGAAGGUUCCAUGGUGACUAGAGAUCGAGAGAAGUGAGGGAGAAGUAUGGCCGGAGAGGCAACGAACUUCAUCGGAGAAGAAGGAACCAGAAGGUUCUAGAGAGAAGGAAGAGCAUUUGUUAGAGAGAGAGUGAGUCUGUU